rnacentral:rRNA from 1 species
GAUGAACGCUGGCGGCGUGCCUAAUACAUGCAAGUAGAACGCUGAAGCUUGGUGCUUGCACCGAGCGGAUGAGUUGCGAACGGGUGAGUAACGCGUAGGUAACCUGCCUGGUAGCGGGGGAUAACUAUUGGAAACGAUAGCUAAUACCGCAUAACAGUCGACAUUGCAUGAUGUUGAUUUGAAAGGGGCAAAUGCUCCACUACCAGAUGGACCUGCGUUGUAUUAGCUAGUUGGUGAGGUAACGGCUCACCAAGGCGACGAUACAUAGCCGACCUGAGAGGGUGAUCGGCCACACUGGGACUGAGACACGGCCCAGACUCCUACGGGAGGCAGCAGUAGGGAAUCUUCGGCAAUGGACGGAAGUCUGACCGAGCAACGCCGCGUGAGUGAAGAAGGUUUUCGGAUCGUAAAGCUCUGUUGUGAGAGAAGAACGAGUGUGAGAGUGGAAAGUUCACACUGUGACGGAACUACCAGAAAGGACG